UGAGGGGGGAUAGGAGGGGUCCUGAUCCCGAAAUCCCGGGCUUAAAAACACGAUAUCCCGAAAUCCCGAACAUAAAAACAUGAAAUCCUGAGGUCCCGAAAUUCGAAAAAAAGAAUUCCCGGAUCCCGAAAGGGUCAAUCCCGAAAUCCCGAGCUUAAAAACACCCGAUCCUGGAGUCCCGAUAAAGGUCCUAUCCCCCCUC
rnacentral:lncRNA from 1 species